CCUACGGGUGGCUGCAGUGGGGAAUAUUGGACAAUGGGCGAAAGCCUGAUCCAGCCAUGCCGCGUGUGUGAAGAAGGCCUUCGGGUUGUAAAGCACUUUCAGUGGGGAAGAAAGCCUUGGGGCUAAUACCCUCGAGGAAGGACAUCACCCACAGAAGAAGCACCGGCUAACUCCGUGCCAGCAGCCGCGGUAAUACGGAGGGUGCGAGCGUUAAUCGGAAUUACUGGGCGUAAAGCGCGCAUAGGCGGUCUGAUAAGCCGGUUGUGAAAGCCCCGGGCUCAACCUGGGAACGGCAUCCGGAACUGUCAGGCUAGAGUGCAGGAGAGGAAGGUAGAAUUCCCGGUGUAGCGGUGAAAUGCGUAGAGAUCGGGAGGAAUACCAGUGGCGAAGGCGGCCUUCUGGACUGACACUGACGCUGAGGUGCGAAAGCGUGGGUAGCAAACAGGAUUAGAUACCCGAGUAUC
rnacentral:rRNA from 1 species